ensembl:misc_RNA
CCCUUGUGAUGGCUGCGCUGUCAAGUACAUGGAGCUUCCCUCGAGGAUUUUCUGAGCCUUGUGGAUGUACCGUGAGCCUCGCUGCCUGGGGAG